AACAAGGCGUACCUGCGGACCUGCGGAAGGAUCAUUACAGAGUUCGUGCCCUCGCGGGUAGAUCUCCCACCCUUGUGUAUUCUCUACAUCUUGUUGCUUUGGCAGGCCGUUGGUUCGCCAACCACCGGCUCGCGGGCUGGUGCGUGCCUGCCAGAGGACCUCUCAAACUCGGUUUGUUAGUGUCGUCUGAGUACCAUAACAAUCGUUAAAACUUUCAACAAUGGAUCUCAGAUCGGAAGA
rnacentral:misc_RNA from 1 species